rnacentral:rRNA from 1 species
GCAUAUCAAUAAGCGGAGGAAAAGAAACCAACAGGGAUUGCCUCAGUAACGGCGAGUGAAGCGGCAACAGCUCAAAUUUGAAAUCUGGCCUCGGCCCGAGUUGUAAUUUGCAGAGGAUGCUUCCGGCGACGUGCCUUCCGAGUCCCCUGGAACGGGGCGCCUGAGAGGGUGAGAGCCCCGUACGGUUGGACGCCGAGCCUGUGUGAAGCUCCUUCGACGAGUCGAGUAGUUUGGGAAUGCUGCUCUAAAUGGGAGGUAAAUUCCUUCUAAAGCUAAAUACCGGCCAGAGACCGAUAGCGCACAAGUAGAGUGAUCGAAAGAUGAAAAGCACUUUGGAAAGAGGGUUAAACAGUACGUGAAAUUGCUGAAAGGGAAGCGCUCGCGACCAGACUCGCGCCGGGCGGAUCAUCCAGCGUUCUCGCUGGUGCACUUCGCCCGGCCCGGGCCAGCAUCGGUUCUAGCGGGGGGACAAAAGCCCGGGAAACGUAGCUCCCUCCGGGGAGUGUUAUAGUCCCUCGCCUAAUAUCCCCGCCGGGACCGAGGACCGCGCCUCGUGCAAGGAUGCUGGCGUAAUGGUCGCCAGCGACCCGUCUUGAAACACGGACCAAGGAGUCGAACAUUCGUGCGAGUGUUUGGGUGGAAACCCCUCACGCGUAAUGAAAGUGAACGGAGGUGGGAGCCUCGGCGCACCAUCGACCGAUCCUGAAGCUUGUCGGAUGGAUUUGAGUGGGAGCAUGACUGUUCGGACCCGAAAGAUGGUGAACUAUGCCUGCGUAGGGUGAAGCCAGAGGAAACUCUGGUGGAGGCUCGCAGCGGUUCUGACGUGCAAAUCGAUCGUCAAACGUGGGCAUGGGGGCGAAAGACUAAUCGAACCAUCUAGUAGCUGGUUUCCGCGA